rnacentral:rRNA from 1 species
CUCCGCGUCACGAUCGACAUUCAGAUUCCUCUGCGAUCGCAUCGGGUAAGACCGAUGCUUUUCUUGACUCUUCAAAGGUCUUGGAAUAAGGGGUGGGUAAGGACGGUGCCAGCCGCCGCGGUAAUACCGGCGCCCCAAGUGGUAGUCGCUUUUAUUGGGCCUAAAACGUCCGUAGCCGGUCUGGUACAUUCGUGGGUAAAUCAACCAGCUCAACUGGUUGAAUUCUGCGAGCACGGCCAGACUUGGGACCGGGAGAGGUGUGGGGUACUCUCAGGGUAGGGGUAAAAUCCUGUCAUCCUGAGAGGACCACCUGUUGCGAAGGCGCCACACUAAAACGGAUCCGACGGUCAGGGACGAAGCCUAGGGGCACGAACCGGAUUAAAUACCCGGGUAGUCCUAGGUGUAAACGCUGUGGACUUGAUGUUGGGGGCGCUCCGAGCGCACUCAGUGUCGAAGCGAAGGUGAUAAGUCCACUGCCUGGGGAGUACGGUCGCAAGGCUGAAACUUAAAGGAAUUGGCGGGGGAGCACA